UGGAUCACCUCCUAACAGGGAGACAACAAAAUGUUUAUAUUAUUUUGUCACCUUAGGUCGAUCGGUAUCUCACGUUCUUAAUUGGUUAAGAAUUUCAUUUUCUAAGUUUUUCUAGGUCACACCCAUUAUUUUUCCUGGGCCAUUAGCUCAGGUGGUUAGAGCGCACCCCUGAUAAGGGUGAGGUCCCUGGUUCAAGUCCAGGAUGGCCCAUAUCUCUAUGUUGGGGGUAUAGCUCAGUUGGUAGAGCGCCUGCUUUGCAAGCAGGAUGUCAGCGGUUCGAGUCCGCUUACCUCCACUGAUUACCACCUCUUCCAUAACCGGUAGAAAGGAAAUGUUUUGAGUUGUGAUCAAAUUCUGAAAGAAUCUAGCUUCCUAAUGAAAACAUUAAGAUGCUGGACUCAUUGAAUUAAUUUCAUUGUUUUCAGAGAACCUUGACAACUGCAUAGAUUAUUUUUAAAGACAAUAAGCAUCUUUAAUGAUGCAGAUUUAUUAUUUAUGCGAAUGCAUUAAUAACAAUUCUAUUAAGCUGAUGCUUCAAUUUUUGAAGUUAUUGGUCAAGCUACAAAGGGCUCACGGAGGAUACCUAGGCACACAGAGGCGAUGAAGG
rnacentral:tRNA from 1 species